rnacentral:rRNA from 1 species
UGGGGAAUUUUGGACAAUGGGCGAAAGCCUGAUCCAGCAAUGCCGCGUGUGUGAAGAAGGCCUUCGGGUUGUAAAGCACUUUUGUCCGGAAAGAAAUCCUUGGCUCUAAUACAGUCGGGGGAUGACGGUACCGGAAGAAUAAGCACCGGCUAACUACGUGCCAGCAGCCGCGGCAAUACGUAGGGUGCAAGCGUUAAUCGGAAUUACUGGGCGUAAAGCGUGCGCAGGCGGUUUGCUAAGACCGAUGUGAAAUCCCCGGGCUCAACCUGGGAACUGCAUUGGUGACUGGCAGGCUAGAGUAUGGCAGAGGGGGGUAGAAUUCCACGUGUAGCAGUGAAAUGCGUAGAGAUGUGGAGGAAUACCGAUGGCGAAGGCAGCCCCCUGGGCCAAUACUGACGCUCAUGCACGAAAGCGUGGGGAGCAAACAGGAUUAGAUACCCUGGUAGUCCACGCCCUAAACGAUGUCAACUAGUUGUUGGGGAUUCAUUUCCUUAGUAACGUAGCUAACGCGUGAAGUUGACCGCCUGGGGAGUACGGUCGCAAGAUUAAAACUUAAAUGAAUUGACGGGGU